UCCUCGGGUAAAUAAGACUACUUGUAUAUAAUGAGAGAUAGAAAAUUAAAAGGGUUAUAUGCAAAGUUUGAUAUACCAAAGUUCACGACCUCACUGAUAAGAAAAUAUUUCAAGAAAUAUUUCAAAUAAAAAAUACUAAAGAUUUCUUGGAAGUUGAUCUUCGCUCAUCGUCAAAUUGAAAAAGAACAUUGUUAAACGUACGAUAAUAAUUUUAAAUAAUAUCCAUUGAAACUAAUUAAUUAUUUAGAAGUUGAAAUUAGAUAUAAAACUGAACAUAGUGAAAGAAGUGAACUGUCAAUAUUUUUAAUUUGUUAUCUUACACUUUGUUUUUCAAAUUACAAUACACUCGAUAUUUAUAGAAUCACAUAAAUUGUUCGUUUCAAAUUGAUCGUUUAAUAUCUUCAUGACGUUAUUGUAUAUAUAUAAUGUUUGUAUUAAAUGACCUAACCUUUGACUUCGAUUUCUUAACCUCACUUUUUACUUAAAGUUGUUUUUCAUGAUAACUUGUAUUGAGAAACGUGUAUUUAUGAAAAAAUGGAGACCGUACGUCCAUGUGGUUGUAAAGGAAUUCGUACAUGUUUGAUUUGCGAAGAACAAUUUAACAUAACAAAACCGAAUUUGAAAGAAAAGUUACAAGAAAAAUCCUCUUAUGUUUAUUGUCCGCAUUGCGAUAAAGCAUGGGCUGGAUGGGAUAUAGAAUUGUACAAGCAACAUCCUCAUCAUAAAGGACAUGCGAUAGAUUAUCCAGGUGUUUUUAUUAAACUUGAUUUUUUAAAUACAGAAGAAACAUUGACUUUGAUGAAGUCGUUAGAUGAAUUACCAUGGGAACCAUCGCAAAGUGGUAGAAGAAAACAAAAUUUUGGUCCAAAGUGUAAUUUUAAGAAACGAAAAUUACGUUUAGGUACCUUUAAUGGAUUUCCACAAUCUACAGAAUUUGUACAGAAGAAGUUCAAUGAAAUUUCACUUUUAAAUAAUUUUAGAACAGUAGAACAAUGCACUCUUGAAUACAAUCCAAAACGAGGAGCUUCUAUAGAUCCUCAUAUAGAUGAUUGUUGGAUAUGGGGAGAGCGUAUAGUUACGGUUAAUGUAUUAGGUGAUUCUGUAUUAACAAUGACACCUUAUACCGAAUCGAUUAGACGUUACAAUCUGGAUUAUGUAGAAAAUUAUUCUAAAAUUGAUAAAAAAAUAGAAAUACAACAAGACAUGGUAAUACGUUUACCUAUGCCAGCAAGAUCAUUGAUGAUUUUAUAUGGACUUGCAAGGUAUAAUUGGGAACACUCUGUGCUUCGAGAAGAUGUAACAUCAAGACGUGUCUGUCUUGCUUAUAGAGAAUUAACUCCACCAUAUCUUGAAAAUGGCAAACAUGAAAAGGAAGCAUCGGAAAUUCUUGAAAAAGCAAAUAAUUUUUGGUAAAAAAUUCAAAGUCGAAUCUUAUAAUUAUAUUUGUCAAAAUCUUACCCUGGACUGCAUGAAAUUAACUGCACUUUUAACUUCGUCAUUAUUACCGUAUUCGUGCAUCGUACUGUUGAUAUUAUUUUCCAAAAGAUCUUGCACGGUGUCCUGUAAUGCAUAUGCUGCAGUCGCCGCAGACAAUUCCAUUAUUAAGACAACGGAUAAAGAAACUGCGAACUAGGAAAAAGAAAAAAGAAAAUAUAAAUAAUAUUAGCAUAAUAUACUUACCACAAGAACCAUGCAAGUACUUUCUCGAAGAGCACCGCAACAUCCAAAGAAGGCAAUUAUAAAAACUAAUAUACCAACUAUGAUCAAGAGCGUGGCUGGUGAGAAAUAUCUGGUAUCCAAGAAAUGGGAGAAAUCUUCAUAAACGGCAUAGAUUGUAGAGCCAACCGAUAUUAUCAUCACACCCGUCAAC